AUUGAACGCUGGCGGCAGGACUAACACAUGCAAGUCGAGCGAGCGGCGGACGGGUGAGUAAUGUAUGGGGACUGCCCGAUAGAGGGGGCUAACUACUGGAAACGGUGGCUAAUACCGCAUACUGUCGUAUAACCCAUAUGGGAUUAGCUAGUAGGUAAGGUAAUGGCUUACCUAGGCGACGAUCCCUAGCUGGUCUGAGAGGAUGAUCAGCCACACGGGGACAGAGACACGGCCCAGACUCCUUCGGAGGCAGGAGUGGGGAAUAUUGCCCAAUGGGCGCAAGCCUGAGGCAGCCAUGGCGCGUGUAUGAAGAAGGCCCUAGGGUUGUAAAGUACUUUCAGUCGGGAGGCGUUACCGACAGAAGAAGCACCGGCUAACUCCGUGCCAGCAGCCGCGGUAAUAC
rnacentral:rRNA from 1 species